CUGGGUUUAGACCAGGGGAGAACCUGGGUAUAGACCAGGGGAGUACCUGGUUAUAGUCCAGGGGAGAACCUGGGAAUAGACCAGGGGAGAACCUGGGAAUAGACCACUGCCUAAUCACCCUGACCCUCUUUACUUCUUUCUGUUUUAAAAAGAGCUUAUGUCAGUCCACCCCUGUCUCACUCGCUCUUGCUCUCUUGCUCUCUCUCUCUCACUCUCACUCUCUUUCUCUUGCUCUCUCUCACUCUUUCUCUCUCUCUCACUCUCUUGCUCUCUCUCUCACUCUCACUCUCUUUCUCUUGCUCUCUCACUCUUUCUCUCUCUCUCUCUCACUAUCUUUCUCUUUCUCUUGCUCUCUCUCACUCUCUCUCUCUCUCUCUCACUCUUGCUCUCUCUCUCUCACUCUCACUCUCUUUCUCUUACUCUCUCUCUCUCGCUCACUCUCUUUCUCUUGCUCUCUCACUCUUUCUCUCUCUCUCUCUCACUAUCUUUCUCUUUCUCUUGCUCUCUCUCACUCUCUCUCUCUCUCUCUCACUCUUGCUCUCUCUCUCUCACUCUCACUCUCUUUCUCUUACUCUCUCUCUCUCGCUCACUCUCUUUCUCUUGCUCUCUCUCUCACUCUCUUUCUCUCGCUCUCUCUCUCUCUCUCACUCUCGUUCUCUUGCUCUCUCUCUCUCACUCUCUUUCUCUUGCUCUCUCUCACUCUCUCGCUCUUUCUCUUGCUCUCUCUCUCUCGCUCUUUCUCUUGCUCUCUCUCUCACUCUCUUGCUCUCACUCUCUUGCUCUCUCACUCUCUCGCUCUUUCUCUUGCUCUCUCUCUCACUCUCUCGCUCUUUCUCUUGCUCUCUCUCACUCUCUUGCUCUCUCGCUCUCACUCUCUUGCUCUCUCUCUCUCACUCUCUCUCUUGCUCUUUCUCUCACUCUCUUGCUCUCUCUCUCACUCUCUCUCUCUUUCUCUUGCUCUCUCUCUCUCACUCUCUUCCUCACUCUCUUUCUCUUGCUCUCUUGCCCUCUCUCUUUCUCUUGCUCUCUCUCUAACUCUCUCUUGCUCUCUCUCUCUCACUCUCACUCUCUUCCUCACUCUCUCUCUAACUCUCUCUCUUGCCCUCUCUCUUUCUCUUGCUCUCUCUCUCUCUCUCUUGCUCUCUCUCUCACUCUCUUGCUCUCUCCCUCUCCCUCUCUUGCUCUCUCUCUCUCACUCUCUUGCUCUCUCGCUCUCUCUUGCUCUUUCUCU
rnacentral:lncRNA from 1 species